rnacentral:rRNA from 1 species
UAGGGAAUCUUCGGCAAUGGGGGCAACCCUGACCGAGCAACGCCGCGUGAGUGAAGAAGGUUUUCGGAUCGUAAAGCUCUGUUGUAAGAGAAGAACGUGUGUGAGAGUGGAAAGUUCACACAGUGACGGUAACUUACCAGAAAGGGACGGCUAACUACGUGCCAGCAGCCGCGGUAAUACGUAGGUCCCGAGCGUUGUCCGGAUUUAUUGGGCGUAAAGCGAGCGCAGGCGGUUUAAUAAGUCUGAAGUUAAAGGCAGUGGCUUAACCAUUGUUCGCUUUGGAAACUGUUAAACUUGAGUGCAGAAGGAGAGAGUGGAAUUCCAUGUGUAGCGGUGAAAUGCGUAGAUAUAUGGAGGAACACCGGUGGCGAAAGCGGCUCUCUGGUCUGUAACUGACGCUGAGGCUCGAAAGCGUGGGGAGCAAACAGG